rnacentral:rRNA from 1 species
AUAAUAUUUGUCUUCGCAUGAAGAAAUAAAGAAAGACAGUUCUGCUGUACCUUAUAAUUGCGCCCCCUAUGUAUUAUUUAGUUGGUGAGGUACGGCUUACCCAAGCUUCGAUACAUAACCGACCUGAGAGGGUGAUCGGCCACACUGGGACUGAGCCCCGGCCCCAACUCCUAGGGGAGGCUACAGAAUGUAACCUUCGGCAAUGGACGAAAGUCUGACGGGGCCACGUCGCGCGAGAAAAUAUGGUUUUCGUAUCACUAAACUCUGUUGUAAGGGAAUAACAUGUACGUGAAAAACUGUACGUACCUUGACGGAACCUUACAAGAACGCUACAGUUAACUUCAUGCCACCCGGCGAGAUAAUACGUAGGUGGCAUGCGUUAUCUGUAGGUAUUGGGCGUAAAGCGCGCGCAUUCUUUCUCUUAUUCUGAUGUCCAGCCCCCGCCUCAACCGGUUAGGGUCAUUGGAAACUGAGAGACUUGAUGAAAAAAUGAUAGUGUAAUUCCAUGUGAAGCGGUGUAAGCGACAGAAUUGGAGGAAUACCAGUG